UACGUAGGGGGCUAGCGUUGUCCGGAAUCAUUGGGCGUAAAGCGCGUGUAGGCGGCCCGGUAAGUCCGCUGUGAAAGUCGGGGGCUCAACCCUCGGAAGCCGGUGGAUACUGUCGGGCUCGAGUACGGAAGAGGCGAGUGGAAUUCCUGGUGUAGCGGUGAAAUGCGCAGAUAUCAAGAGGAACACCUGCGGCGAAGGCGGGUUGCUGGGCCGACACUGACGCUGAGGCGCGAAAGCCAGGGGAGCGAACGGG
rnacentral:rRNA from 1 species